rnacentral:lncRNA from 1 species
CAGGUAUUUCACAUCCAAUUUUUUAUGGAAAUAUUCUUUAUAAAGCACAAAGGUGUCAGUAUUCACAUCAAAAACUAACAAAACCUUUGAAUAGACUUAUUAAAAAGGGAUAUAGUUACGAUACUGUUGUCAGGUCAUUAAAGAUUGCAUAUUUUGGCGUUAAUAAUGAUUCACUUAUAGGGUCUUUGCAUCGGAACUAAAC